rnacentral:rRNA from 1 species
UACGUAGGUGGCAAGCGUUGUCCGGAAUUAUUGGGCGUAAAGCGCGCGCAGGCGGUCCUUUAAGUCUGAUGUGAAAGCCCACGGCUCAACCGUGGAGGGUCAUUGGAAACUGGGGGACUUGAGUGCAGAAGAGGAAAGCGGAAUUCCACGUGUAGCGGUGAAAUGCGUAGAGAUGUGGAGGAACACCAGUGGCGAAGGCGGCUUUCUGGUCUGUAACUGACGCUGAGGAGCGAAAGCGUGGGGAGCGAACAG